rnacentral:rRNA from 1 species
AUUUUUGCCGAAUUCCUUUUUAUUAAUUUUAAUUAAUUAUAUUUCAUUUUUUUUUAUAUACUAAUUUUAUCAUUAUAACUAAUUUUUUAUUAUUAGAAAUUAUUUUUUUAUAUAAAUUUAAAUAUAAAUUUAAAUUUUAAAAUAAAUAAAAUUAUUUAUAAAAAAUUAUAAUUUAUAAAAAAUAUAAAUUUUAAAAUAUUUAAAUAAUUUAUUAAUUAUUAUAAAAAUUUAAUUUAAAGCUUAUCCCCUAAAAUAUUUAAUUAAAUAUAUAAUUUUAUAUAAUAAAUUUAAAAAAAAAUUAUUAAAUUAAUUUAAAAUUAAAUUUUUUUCUAAAAAAACUAGAUAUUUUUAAAAACGAUUAACAUUUCAUUUCAAAUUAAUUAUUUAAAAUAAUUAUGUCACAUUAACUUUAAUAAUUAAUUAUCUCUUUUAAAUUCGAGAUAUUUUCAUUUAAAAAUACUUUUUAAUAAACUCUGAUACACAAGAUACAAUAAACUAAAUUUACUUAUAUAAUAAUUAAUUUUUAACUUUAUUUCAAAAUUCUUUCACAAUACUAUUAAACUAUAAAUUAAUAAAUUUUUUUCUAAAAAAUACUUUAACCCCCAUUAAUUAUUUUUUAUAAUUAUUUUUAUUAUUUAUUUUAUUAUAUUAAUUUACCCCCA